AUCAUUAGAGGAAUUAAAGAGAAGGACAAUAACAUGACCAGAGGGACUGAACAGGAGGAUGAAGCAGCUGAUAACCCCACCAGGAGCACAUUAGACAUGUUCUCUUAAUGGCCAGAUAAUUAAAGAAGAAGUUGAGAGCCACAGAAUCAGUCCAUGUUUGAUCAGAAGGUAGCAUUUGAGGAAGCUAAGAAGAAGCUAAAGAAGGAAAGCAAAUCAUAGUGGCUGUGGCUUCCCAGGCUGGAUUCCCACCCUAUCCAUAAGGGACUGUUUUUUGUGGGGUGACCCCAUCUCUGGCUGGUGAGGCUCCUGUCUACUGGUGGAUCAGCAGCUGGCUCUUCCAUGGCCAAGCAGGAAUUUAUGAGAAGACCACGAGGAGUAUGCUGAGACAUGGUCAUCACAGACAGCAACACUCAUUUACCUGUACAGCCAGGGAAAAGGAGAUGCUUCCAGAGAGAGACUCUGACAUGAUCCUAACCUAUGGCAGAAGGAAACCUCAGUGGUUUUGAAUUUUUAUCGUGCAUC
rnacentral:lncRNA from 14 species